GCGCAGAGAGAUGAGCCGACGCCGGAUUAGCUAGUUGGCGGGGUAAAGGCCCACCAAGGCGACGAUCCGUAGCUGGUCUGAGAGGAUGAUCAGCCACACUGGAACUGAGACACGGUCCAG
rnacentral:rRNA from 1 species